rnacentral:tRNA from 1 species
UGCCGGAUCGUCUAAUGGUAGGACUUCGGUUUCUGGUACCGACUAUCGGGGUUCGAGUCCCUGUCCGGCAGCCA